AGCAACAUCUGUGGCCUUUGGUUGUAUAAAUAGGAUUUUUGAUAAGUUAGAAGGGAAAUCUGGACCCUUUUGACUAUUCCAAAGGGAAUAGGCACCUUCAUGGUACAAAAUAGAACAUCUUCAAGUUGAAGAUGUAAAUCAGGAAAGCAGAGGACGACAUGAGCAGUCCUGUAACCUGAAUUCACACUUCAACUGGAGUAACUUCCUGGAGAAGAAAGGACAGGACAUACCUUGGAUUGACAAAUCCAACAGACUUCAGUCUCAUGGGAGAACUUGGUCAGUGUCUAUUCUCCCUCCUGAUGGUAACAGCAUCCCAACAGUGUUUUGGAGAAUCACUCCUCUGCUAUUAGAUGUACGAAGUAGUGGUACCUGUCUUCCUCUGGCUAACAGGUGGGCACACAUGCCCUAAAUUGGCCUGAUGCCUUUUCUCUG
ensembl:lncRNA